rfam:Erinaceus europaeus unplaced genomic scaffold scaffold00069, whole genome shotgun sequence
AAGAGGGCGAUCUGGCUGAGGCAUCUGUCACCCAGGGUUGAUCGCCAGGGUUGAUUCGGCUGAUCUGGCUGGCUAGGCGGGUGUCCCCUUCCUCCCUCACCGCUCCAUGUGCGUCCCUCCCGAAGCUGCGCGCCUUCCCCGAAUAGAGACGGACUGAUCUUCGGUCGGACUGGUCUUCGGUCGAGGGUAGCUGCGCUCCCCUGCUAGAACCUCCAAACAAGCUCUCAAGAAUGGUUAUUGGGGGGGCACCUGCUGGCAGUAUAGGGAACUGCAGACAAUCAAGCUGAGCAGUGAAUUCUAAUCAGGAAAACCCCAAACAGAGGAGAAAUUCCUGUAGUU